ensembl:lncRNA
CACAGACUGAGGCUGGAGAGUUUUCUGUAAAAACACAGUUAAUAAGUGACAAUGGCAGACCACAGAUUUCCAAAUGAUUUCCAACUCAUCACUUUUGAUGAAGACUACCUGGAACUGGAAGGUGAAGAUGUCUCCCUCCCCUGUCGUCUUUACCCUGAGACCAGCGCUGUUGCCCUGACGAUCAGAUGAUUUAAGUAUGAAGAGUGUAUUUACCUGUAUAAGAAUGGUCAGUUGACAGAGAGGUGUGGCUAUGAGGGCAGACUGAGUCUGAACAACCAGGAGAUGGAGAGAGGAAAUGUGUCUCUGAGGAUGAAGAACAUCAAGAAAUCAGAUGAAGGAGUCUACAUCUGUCAGGUCAUCCAUGGAGCACAGAAGGAGGAGACGGCAGUCGGAUUAGGGACCAGAGGGGGUAAGUGGUCGGUAACUACAGUCUAACAGUAUGUGGUCGGUAAC